GACAGAGGUCCCGAGCGUUAGGCGGAAUCACUGGGCUUAAAGCGUGUGUAGGCGGACUUGUAAGUACCUUGUGAAAUCCCACGGCUUAACCGUGGAACUGCUUGGUAUACUGCUUGUCUUGGGCCACUUAGGGGCUACCGGAACAAACGGUGGAGCGGUGAAAUGCGUAGAUAUCAGGAGGAACACCAAUAGCGAAGGCAGCUCGCUGGGACGUUACUGACACUGAGGCGCGAAAGCGUGGGGAGCGAACAGG
rnacentral:rRNA from 1 species